rnacentral:rRNA from 2 species
GGAGGAAAGCAGGGGAUCGCAAGACCUUGCGCUUUUGGAGCGGCCGAUGUCUGAUUAGCUAGUUGGUGAGGUAAAGGCUUACCAAGGCGUCGAUCAGUAGCUGGUCUGAGAGGACGACCAGCCACACUGGGACUGAGACACGGCCCAGACUCCUACGGGAGGCAGCAGUGGGGAAUUUUGGACAAUGGGGGAAACCCUGAUCCAGCCAUGCCGCGUGAGUGAAGAAGGCCUUCGGGUUGUAAAGCUCUUUCAGCCGGAACGAAACGGUCACGGUUAAUACCCGUGACUACUGACGGUACCGGAAGAAGAAGCACCGGCUAACUACGUGCCAGCAGCCGCGGUAAUACGUAGGGUGCGAGCGUUAAUCGGAAUUACUGGGCGUAAAGCGUGCGCAGGCGGUUUUGUAAGUCAGAUGUGAAAUCCCCGGGCUUAACCUGGGAACUGCGUUUGAAACUACAAAGCUAG